CCCAUCCAACCUGGCCUUGAACGCCUCCAGGAAUGGGGCAUCCACAGCCUCUCUGGGCAGCCUGUGCCAGCACCUCAUUACUCUCAUAGGAAAGAACUUCCCCCUGACAUCCAACCUAAACCUUCCCUCCCUCAACUUAAAACCAUUUCCCCCUGUCCUGCAGUUACCAGCCCUUUCAAAGAGUUGAUUCCCCUCCUGUUUGUAGGCUCCCUUUAGGUACUGAGAAGCUGCAGUGAGGUCACCCUGCAGCCUUCUUUUCUCCAGGCUGAACAAGCCCAGCUCCCUCAGCCAGUCUUUGCUGUGGAAGUGCUCCCAGCCCUCUGAUCAUCUUUGUGGCCUCCUCUGGACCCUCUCCAACAGCUCUCUGUAUUUCUUGUAUGGAGAACCUAGACCUGGACACAGUGCUCCAAACAGGGCCUCCCAAGAGCAGAGUAGAGGGGCACAAUCACCUCCCUGUCCCUGCUGGCCACCCCUCUUCUGAUGGAGCCCAGGAUACCAUUUGCCUUCCGAGCUGCAAGAGCACACUGCUGGCUCAUGUUAAGCUUUUCAUCUAUCAAGACCCCCAGGUCCUUCUCCACAGAGCUGCUUUCAAGGACCGCUCCUUCCAGUCUGUAUGGAUGCCUGGGAUUCUUCCAGCCCAAGUGCAAAACUCUGCACUUUGCUGAGUUGAAUCUCAUUUGAUUCACCUGGACCCACCUUUUGAGUCUGGAGAUCAAGCUUCAAGGACUAGUUGUUUUCUUCUGAAAAUACAGAACAAGGUCUUUAGCCCCUUUAGACUUAGGUUGAACAAGUUAUACGUCCUGGAGCCAUCCUGCAGGAGACUACACCUUUCUUUUGCUUUUGUCUUUCCUACGUGUUUUUUUCUUUCCAAGUACCUGCUGGCACUUCAAAGCAGGAUGCACUAUAUAUAAAAUAAGAAUAUACUUGCUAUUGUAUAACAUGUUUAAAUUUUGGGAGGAUUUUUGAGGAGGGGGAUAACACAAGUGGUCAGUGAUCAAACUUCACAUAUAUUGAAAGAUUUUGAAGGCAUUUUAAUAAUUAUACUAAGAGUUCUGAGGGCGAAGCAAGCCAAAUGAGUUGUAAGAAACUGGUAGUGAAAUCAUUUUGGAUCAUUUAGAUCCGAAAUGAUCAAAACCACUUUUUGAUGUAUUUUAUACUAAUGAGAAAAGCAGUGGUUUUCAGGAUUUAAUCAAGUAAGUGGGAACUCUUAGAAGUAAUUGUUUCUUUUCUGUUUUAGCAAGUUUUCCGUCCUGUUGUAAAGAUAGAUAUAAUAUAGCAAAGAGAUACUACAGUAUUCUUCCAGGAGAAAAAAAGCUGAAUUGCUUUUUUUGAAUUUGCCACAUGUAUAUGUGUGAAUGCACACAGGUAUGUUUCAGUGGGUGUGCAUGUGUGCGUUCCCGGUGUGUAGACAAGCACAGAUACAUGUCCUGAGCUUUCCCAUUGAAUAUGUAUUUUUCUUGUGCUAUUUUAAGGGGAUAUUUCUAACAAACAAGUGCUUGAUUCCUUUUCCUCCUACAUGAAAUCAGUGUUGUUUGAUUCCUUUUUUAGUGAUGUCAGAUGUGUCUUAGACUCUUUUUGUUCUGUUUGUUAUUAAAUAAGUUGCAGCUGUAAGAGAGACCGACUGGAAGAGAGACCAACACUAACUGUUGUAGUCAUUAAAAGAACACCAGAUUAUUUUUCACAUCAGUCCUAAGUAGAUGAAGCUGUAAAAUCCAAAUAUCAUGAAUAAAUGAAAUGUAAUCUU